AGGUCGACCCGCUGAACUUAAGCAUAUCAAUAAGCGGAGGAAAAGAAACUAACAAGGAUUCCCUUAGUAGCGGCGAGCGAACAGGGAUUAGCCCAGAACCGAAUCCUGCGGCGCAAGUCGUUUGGAAAUGUGGUGUUUGGUUCAAUGCCUACGACACAUUGGAGCUGUUUUAAGUCCACAUGAUUGUGGCUUCCUGCCCAUAGAGGGUGUAAGGCCCGUAAAAACAGUACAGUGUGUCCUGGUGUUGUUCCUAGAGUCGGGUUGUUUGGGAAUGCAGCCCAAAUCGGGUGGUAAACUCCAUCCAAGGCUAAAUACAACACGAGUCCGAUAGCGAACAAGUACCAUGAGGGAAAGUUGAAAAGAACUUUGAAGAGAGAGUUCAAUAGUGCGUGAAACCGCUCAAAGGGAAACGGGCAGAGCUGAAGGAGAGUUUGUGCAUUUGUAUUUCGGUGUAGCUUCAUGCUUGGUCCUGAGAUGGCUUACCACUCAGUCUUGUAUGUGGGUUGCAUUGUUGUGCUAUUGUGCAGGCUUGACACCACGAUCAGUAGGUAGAUUGGCCUGUCGUAUGAGGGAAGGUAGCUUGGGAUUUAUCCGAAGUGUUAUAGCCCUUUUGCACAGCGUUAAUUGAGUACUGUUUUGCGACGCAUGAUGUGGGUUCAUGACUUGGUAUGGCUGAAAGGAGUUCUGUUGACUCAUUGAGAGAUGAUAGUGUCUUCUAACGGUUAUGCUGGGUUCUCUGUGCCUUGUGUCAAUAAUCUGUGGUGAAAUUGUAGGCGUUCUGCCCGACCCGUCUUGAAACACGGACCAAGGAGUUUAGCAUAUGCGCGAGUCAUUGGGUUGUACGAAACCUAAAGGCGAAGUGAAAGUAAAGACUGGAUUUAUUCCGGUUGAGGUGGGAUCCUGGCUUUCAAUGUGCUUCGGUACAUGGGCUGGGCGCACCACCAUCUCAUGCCAUGCUUUAUAAAGUGGUGUGACGAAAGAGCGCAUACGCUGAGACCCGAAAGAUGGUGAACUAUGCUUGUGUAGGUUGAAGCCAGAGGAAACUCUGGUGGAGGACCGUAGCGAUUCUGACGUGCAAAUCGAUCGUCAAACAUGAGUAUAGGGGCGAAAGACUAAUCGAACCAUCUAGUAGCUGGUUCCGUCCGAAGUUUCCCUCAGGAUAGCUGGCGCUCGAGAAUCAAACAGUUUUAUCCGGUAAAGCGAAUGAUUAGCAGUAUUGGGGAUGACAUAUCCUCAACUGAUUCUCAAACUUUAAAUGGGUGAGAUGCUCAACUCUCUUAAAUUAUGGAGUUGGGCUUAUUUGAAUGUGAGUGCCUAGUGGGCCAUUUUUGGUAAGCAGAACUGGCGCUGUGGGAUGAACCAAACGUGCGGUUAAGGAGCCAAACAUCACGCUCAUCAGAAACCACAAAAGGUGUUGGUUGAUUUUGACAGCAGGACGGUGGCCAUGGAAGUCGGAAUCCGCUAAGGAGUGUGUAACAACUCACCUGCCGAAUCAACCAGCCCUGAAAAUGGAUGGCGCUGGAGCGUGGGUCCUAUACCGUACCGUUACAGCGAGGAAGUUAAUUAUGCUGUAACGAGUAGGACGGCGAUGUGGUAAGCACAGAAGCCUAUGUCGUGAGACUGGGUGGAGCUGCCACGUGUGCAGAUCUUGGUGGUAGUAGCAAAUAUUCAAGUGAGAACCUUGAAGACUGAAGUGGAGAAGGGUUC
rnacentral:rRNA from 1 species